rnacentral:antisense_RNA from 1 species
GUCUAGGUUCAAGUUAGCCCCCGUUUUGUUGCCAGGUUUUACCGAACAACGUGCGGGGGUUUUCU